rnacentral:rRNA from 1 species
UGCCUACGGGGGGCAGCAGUGGGGAAUAUUGCACAAUGGGGGAAACCCUGAUGCAGCGACGCCGCGUGAAGGACGAAGUAUUUCGGUACGUAAACUUCUAUCAGCAGGGAAGAAAAUGACGGUACCUGACCAAGAAGCCCCGGCUAACUACGUGCCAGCAGCCGCGGUAAUACGUAGGGGGCAAGCGUUAUCCGGAUUUACUGGGUGUAAAGGGAGCGUAGACGGCCGUGCAAGUCUGAUGUGAAAAUCCAGCGCUUAACGUUGGAAGUGCUUUGGAAACUGCCGGGCUAGAGUGCAGGAGGGGG